GAGAGAGCAGCAGAGUGUGUGUUUAAAACAGUGAGCGCCUCCAUCAUCCUCAUUCAAUGCACUGCUCGGGCAUGGCCACCUCCAGUCUCAAUUCUGUCAGGGUUAGAUUAUACUUUGAUUAUCCUCCUCCCGCGACACCUGAGUGUCGGAUGUGUUGGUUGCUGGUGAACUUAAACAAAUGCCGAGUUGUCGCAGAUCUUUCCAGCAUCAUAAAGGAAAAGUUUGGCUACAGCCGUAGGACUAUUUUAGACUUGUAUAUAGAGGAUUGCUACCUGCCUCCCACAGAAAGUAUUUAUAUUGUACGUGAUAAUGAUAGCAUAAGGGUGAAGGCAUCCAGUGCUGUUUACAUCAAUGGAGAAGAAGUUUACCAGAACCCUGAAGCUCAAAACUCAAAGACCAAGAAAAGAGGAAGAGAGGAUGAAACGCAGAUCAACGAAGGUUUAAGUAAAAAAAAGAAACAUGAAGAUGCACAAAUCAAUGGCUCUGCACCAGCAGAGGAUGAGAAGAAGAAAAAGAAGAAAGAGGUAGAAGAGUCAGCCACCAAACAUGCCACCCUUCAAAAGAAGACUCAAACCCAGUCUUCUACUAAAAACAACAGGAAAGGCAUUCCUGCUGUCCUUACGAGUGACAAAAAAACGUAUGCCAAGACUCGGCAACCAAUGUCAAGUUCUUCGGACAGCAGUGAGGAUGAGUCUCACUAUAAAACCCCUCCACCAAAACCUAAACCCAAGCAGAAUGGCGCUGCCAAAAAGUCACAGAAAGAAAGCACAUCUUCUUCGGAUGACACCGAGAAAUCCAAAAGCAAUGUUUCUGUACAGUGGCUUCUGGUUACACCUAAACUAUCUAGCACAACCUCAAAACUUCCACUACAGACUCCACAACGCAGAGAGAGCUCCACAGAUUCCUCUUCCUCAUCGUCAUCACCCAGCCAAGCCAGAACCAUAGCGAAGAAAUCAGAAGUAGCAACUCUGCCCUCCUCAGCUACAGCUCAGUCAGUCUCGUCUUCUGUGUCUAAUAAGCCUCAGGAUAAGGCAGAGAGCUCAGACUCUGAGGCCAGUGAAAUAGAUCUGGUGAUUAAGAAACCAAACCUUCAAGGAAUGGGAUUGAACAUUGUUGGGUUGAGCCCUGGUGUUAGUGAAGCAGCAAACAGAGACCGAGGAAACACAAGAGGUCAGGAGAGAGGCAGAGGUCGAGGAGCAAGCCGAGGCAGUGGGAGAGGAGGUUUUGGUAGGGCCAAGGGAACACCGUGGAAACAAGACUUUCAUUUCAAUUAUGAAAAUGGCGAGCGGCAGAAAAAGAACGAUUCUCUAACUAAUGAAAGUUUUAUUGUGCAGAAUCCACCUGAAAUAGCUCCCAGACGGGACUACACUGCUUUACCCUUGCUGGCAGCUCCCCCUGCAGUGGGCCAAAAAAUCGCCUUUAAGCUUUUGGAGCUGACUGAGAACUACACACCAGAGGUGUCUGAUUAUAAAGAAGCGAAGAUUAUUGCAUUCAAUCCUCAAACAGAAGUGAUGGAGCUUGAACUUCUUUCUCAACCUCAAGCUUCAGCUGAACCGGGCAAGUUUGACCUGGUAUAUCAGAACCCUGAUGGAUCUGAGAGAGUGGAGUAUGCUGUCACACAUGGAUCACAGCUGACUGAGCGCUGGGAUUCUCUUCUGGAGCCCCGGCUCAUUGUGGAGAAUGUUGGAUGAUGGUCAUACAAAACAUGUUAACUGAGCCAGACCUACUCGGACAACCUUUUAUUUUAAUGCUUUUUUUUUAGAUGGUAGUAGAGGUGAUUUAUUAUGAGUGUGUGUUUAUACAGUGAGUGCAAAUAGCCAACAAUGUUGGCCUAGGCUGUUUUUACAUAGGUUUAGGUUUUAAUACGAAUUGCUUAAUUCUUUGUCAGUCUCACCUGUCACAAUUUGCACUUAGUGUAAAUAAUAUUCUAAUUGUUGCUUUUGAGAAGGAAAUUUAGUGUGUUAAUUUGUUCGGUUUAAAAAUAAAGUUGAAAGUAAAAAA